rnacentral:tRNA from 1 species
UUCCAGGUAGCUUAAUGGUAAAGCAUCCAAUUAGCAAUUGAGGGAUCUGGGUUCAAGUUCCGGCCCGGGCU